AUUGAACGCUGGCGGCAGGCCUAACACAUGCAAGUCGAGCGGAUGAAGGGAGCUUGCUCCUGGAUUCAGCGGCGGACGGGUGAGUAAUGCCUAGGAAUCUGCCUGGUAGUGGGGGAUAACGUCCGGAAACGGGCGCUAAUACCGCAUACGUCCUGCGGGAGAAAGUGGGGGAUCUUCGGACCUCACGCUAUCAGAUGAGCCUAGGUCGGAUUAGCUAGUUGGUGGGGUAAAGGCAUACCAAGGCGACGAUCCGUAACUGGUCUGAGAGGAUGAUCAGUCACACGGGAACUGAGACACGGUCCAGACUCCUACGGGAGGCAGCAGUGGGGAAUAUUGGACAAUGGGCGAAAGUCUGAUCCAGCCAUGCCGCGUGUGUGAAGAAGGUCUUCGGAUUGUAAAGCACUUUAAGUUGGGAGGAAGGGCAGUAAGUUAAUACCUUGCUGUUUUGACGUUACCAACAGAAUAAGCACCGGCUAACUUCGUG
rnacentral:rRNA from 1 species